rnacentral:rRNA from 1 species
AUUGAACGCUGGCGGCAGGCUUAACACAUGCAAGUCGAGCGAGCGGCGGACGGGUGAGUAAUGUCUGGGAAACUGCCUGAUGGAUGGGGAUAACUACUGGAAACGGUAGCUAAUACCGCAUACCAUCAGAUGUACCCAGAUGGGAUUAGCUAGUAGGGGGGGUAACGGCUCACCUAGGCGACGAUCCCUAGCUGGUCUGUGAGGAUGACCAGCCACACUGGAACUGAGACACGUGCCAGACUCCUACGGGAGGCAGCAGUGGGGAAUAUUGCACAAUGGGCGCAAGCCUGAUGCAGCCAGGCCGCGUGUAUGAAGAAGGCCUUCGGGUUGUAAAGUACUUUCAGCGGGGAGGCGUUACCCGCAGAAGAAGCACCGGCUAACUCCGUGCCAGCAGCCGCGGUAAUUC